UUGGCCCUUGUGGAAUAGUUACAGUACUCCACUAGAAAAUACGUCUGGUUGCAAAUACAAUAAGUCCUCCACCAUAAUUCUUGCUGAAUAUCAUUUGCAUAAAUGCAAAAAGGGAUAUUAUAAGUUUAAAAUAAAUAUUACAAUGCCAAAAUCUAUGUUACAUUGAACACAGAAGUUGGUAGCAAAAAAAUCAAAAGGAAAAAAUAAUUAGUAGACCUUCUUUUGCAUCAACAUAGAGCAAAAAUUUUUGACUUCUGGCAGCACAGCGUGCAUUGUUGGAAAAACACGAAGCAUCAAAUCUAAACCUUCCUGUUAAGUAAAAAUGUACUAUCAUGGGGUAAAAAGAUCUACACCAUAGAAAAACUAAUUUUUCUAAAACUAAAUAAUCUAAGUUUACUUUUAUUUGUCUCGUUUUCAGCAUCAAACAUUUUGUCAAAUGAGAACCAGACCUCCACUCCUUUUCCUGUUCUACAGUUCUACACUGCAAAGAUAUCAUCAUACUCAAAAUCAGUUUUUGCUUCUUUAGAUAUACAUUUGUUUAAUCUACAUUGCCAAUGAGAAAAUACCUGCAUUUUCAGGGAAUUUACACAUUUUACUAUUGAUUCAAGCUUCACAGGAUGUCUCUUUAUUGAGGCAUUGCUCUAUUCUUGACAGAAUUUGAACAAGAUCUAUCCUUGAUUACUAAUGGAUCUUCCAAAGAUUUGUUAGCUUUAUUUAUAGAUUGCUUUCCAUUUGCUGGCCUCUUUGUGCAAUUCCUUGUGCCAUUAAAAACACCAUCUAAUGAUAAUAACCUUCGACUAGACGCAAAUGUAGUUAGAGAUUGUGAGGGCAUUAGCAAUAAUGAAGCAGAAUUAACUUCUAUUUGGUAUAAAGAUCUUGAGCUCUUGUAGUAGUAAUCAACGCAUCAUUGAAUGAACCAAUCGAAUCCUCUGAAUUUGUCCGGGACGCUAUGUAAACAUCUCCCUGAGAGAGACCUUGUCUAAAAUACACAACCUGUUCCUCGAGUCAAACAACCUCAUUUUCCAAAACAGCCAAUUCAGCUAGAAGUUCUAG
rnacentral:lncRNA from 1 species